UUUAGCGCCAAAUAUAAUGAAGUGCAUUAAAAGAAAAAUAAAGACUUGUUUGCAAAUUUGAUGCAAGAACAAAGCCCAAUUCGGAAACAAAAACAGUUACUAAUAAUUAAUUCUUCACAAUGGAGGACAUUUCAGAUUCUGAAAAUCAGAAUGAACGUGCGAAGCUGCGUCAAGGGUACCUUCAGUCUGUCGCACAAUUAUCUGCACAUCGAGUGAAAGUUAAAAUGUAUGGUAAUGCUGAAAUUUCAGCAAUAUUCAAAGGCAUGGAUCCAGAUGGACAAAAGCUGCUUGUUUUGGAUGCAGAUAUUCCUAUAGGAGGCCCAUUGCCAUCAGCACUUUUAAGGACAUCAGACAUUAUUUCCGCUACAUUUUCCAAUCAAAAAAUUCAUUCCUCCUAACAAAUCAGCUGCAUGAUGUAUUUUUGUACUUAAUGAAAAUUAAAAUUUCCUUUAUCGUU